CUCACUUAAUAAGUGUGUCGUUAAAUUUAUAAAAUAUGAAUUUUAAUUUUAAUUUAAAAUUAUAUAUAUUAUAUCGCUCAAAUAACAAAGAUGUUUAUCAAAUUGAAUGUUUUGAGUUCAAGUCUCAUCUGUCUCAUCUAUCUCAUCAAAACAAAAAAAUUCACUUUUCUUUCUCCUUUAACAAAUUCUUGAAAAAUGAGUUAGACCUCUAAAAGAGAGUUUUAAUUGAGCAUUAAUUUGUCCCCUUUUUUUUUCAUGUUUUGUCUUUUAUUUCACUAUUUUUUUUUUUUAAUAUGUGCACUAACUCAUUAGAGUUGCUACAGUGCAGCUCUAAUUAGAGCUCUGCAGCACUGCUACAAAUUCUUCUAAACACAGCAUAUCAAGUUUUCUGUUACACACCACACCAGACCACACACAGGGAAUUGAAAAUUCAAGUCAAUUUUGUUUGGGAUUUUUUUUGUUCCCUUUAACUUUACAGAGUUCAAUUGUUUACAUGGCCAUGUCUCCCUUCACAUAUUUUGCUGAGGAGAAGUUAUUUGGUGGUCCUGAUAUACAAACACGUAGUAUUUCAAGCGUAUUGUAAUUUAUAAAAAGAAUGAAACUCAUAAUUUUAUAUUAAAUAAUUGAUCAACAAAAAGAAAAAUAUAAUAAUUUGUAAUUGGUUAGAAAUAUCGCUAAAUGGUCUCUUGACCAAAAAUAAUUUUUCUUACCAAAAUAUAUUCACCCACUUCUUAAUCAUACCUAAUCAAUGACAUGACAAGUUUUUUGGGACUUUUCUCAAAUUAAGUCAAAUUAGUAAUUUAAUUCUCAAACUAGGCCUAGUUUGGACGGAAUUCCCAAACUAAGCUAAAGCGCUAUUACAAACCACACUUUCACUAUUCUUAGGACCCUCCCGCGGGAAAUUUGUGAAAUAGUAAAAGCGUGGUUACAAACCACGCUUUUAAUUAAGAAAGCGUGGUUACAAACUACACUUUUAAAUAAUUUUUUUUUUCUUCAUAAAACGUGGUUACAAACCACGCUUUAUAAUUUUUUUUGAGAAAACGUGAUUUCGAAUCACGCUUUCAAUACCAGCUACUCCAUGCACUCACUUAGGGAUGGCAAUCUGAAACCGACCCGACGGUGACCCGAUCCCCCGACCCCAAAUUAAGUGGUUAUUCACCGAAAAAUGUCUCCGACGAGCCGAGGAUGGUAUUCAAAAGUUCAUCCCCGAUGAUAUCCGAGCCGGGGACGGGGAUAGAUGUUUCAGGCCCGGACCCGGCUCGGCCCCGGCCCCGCCCCGCUUAAUCCCCGAGGUGAAAUUACCGUUUUGUCCCUGCAUAUAUAUAUGCUUGUGUUUGUCUAGGGUUUGAGACACACACUCAGACACUCUCAGCCUCUCACUCACACGGCGCUCUCCUGCUCCGCUCGAUCCUCUCUCUCUCUCGCUCGCCACAACUGGUUUGGUCUCCCCCUCUCUCUUUCUCUUACCGGCGUGCCUCUCUUUUCACCGGCGAUCCUUCGUCGCCACCGAUCCUCCCUUACCGCCUCACCUCUGUCGUUUCUUCGUCGCUCCCUCACCGCUGCUGCUUUCUCUCCCUCAUCGCCGCUCCUCCGUCACCGCCGACCUCCCUCACCGUCGCUGCUCUCACUGUGUAGGAGGCAACACUAAUUGGUGUGGACACCCUUGGUUUCGACAUGAGAAUUUGCUCAGGAACACAAGUACAAACAUUGCGGUUUACAUUUAACAAACGGGUUAAAAAUGUCAGAUGCUAACUCUGAAGCACCAGUUAACUCUGAAGUACCCGUUAACACUCAAGUACCAUUUGAGAGUGACGCGUCAUAACAUUCAUCGCCAGCUACAAAUGCACCUACGAACUCACCGUCUCCCCUCUCUAAUCAACAUGUUAUUGAUUUAGAAGAAGAGUCUAAUACUACUUGUGGAGGAACUAAAAGAAAACCUAGUGUUGUGUGGGAACAUUUUAAAAAACAACAAGUCAAUGAGGUGUGGAAGGCAAUAUGUAAUUAUUGUAAUAAGCAUCUUGGAGGUGAUUCAAAAAAAUGGAACUAGGCAUUUGCAUGAUCACCAUAAGAGUUGUACUAGGAAAAAAGUGAUGGACAUGAGGCAAAAAGUGUUAACUAACAACUUUAGUAGAGAGAGUCCAAAAAUGAAUUCUUAUAUUUUUUAUCAAGAUUUUGCUAGGAAAGAGUUGUCACAUGCCAUAAUCUUGCAUGAAUAUCCCCUCUCUAUCGUAGAUCAUGUUGGUUUUAAACGAUAUUCAGCAGCACUUCAACUAUUGUUUAAAGUGCCUUCUCAAAACAUGAUAAAGAGUGAUAUUUUAAAGAUUUAUGAUUAUGAGAGGGUGAAGACAUUGAGUUUGGUGGAGCAUAAUAAAAGUAGGGUGGCAAUCACAACAGAUAGGUGGACUGCUAGCAAUCAAAAGAAAGGAUUCAUGACUGUCACCGCACACUUUAUUGAUGAUUCAUGGACAUUGCAAAGUCGCAUUUUGAGGUAUAUUUUUGCAAAUUUGCAAAUCAUUUAAAACUUCUAUCUUAUUCAGUUUAAUUUGCAUGUUAUUAAUACUUGUUUAUGAAUAUCAUAUUUUAAGUUUAUUUAUGUUCCAUGGCCACACACAAUGGAUUUGAUUUUUUAUGUUGUAAUGGAUAUUUUUUUUUAAUUUUUAAUUUCAAUUUUUGGGUAGCCUAUCCCUUGCGGGUUGUGCUUGGGAUUAGUUAUUCUCUUUGCUACUUGUUGAAUUUUUUUGUGUGUGGGCUGCUGAAUUUUCUUAUGUGUGUGGGCUGCUGAAUUUUCUUGUGUGUGUGGGCUGCUGAAUUUUCUUAGAGAAACACGAUGCUAUUUUAUGAGUUUUGUAUGGCACUGUGAUGACACUGUUAUGACACUGCUACAGGAUGUAUUUUUUAAUUGGGCUGCUGAAUUUUCUCAAUGUUUUGUGUGUGGGUUGUGUAUGAUGCUACAGGAUGUAUUUUUUAAAUGGCACUGCUACAGAAUCUUUUUAAUUGGCAAUGCUACAGGAUGUAUUUUAAUUCAUGUUUACAGAAUGUAUAGCAUACUACAGGUUUUGUAUGGCAUAUUUUAAUUCACUGCUACAGAUUUUGUAUGGCAUACUACAGGUUAAUUGGCAUGCUACAGGUUAUUUAAAUCCAUGUUAAUUGGCAAUGCUAUAGGUUUUGUAUGGCAUUGUCUUCAUUGUCUCAAAUAUAUUUUAGUCCAUGUUUAUAGAUUUUUAUAAAUUAAAAAACAA